UACGAAGGGGGCUAGCGUUGCUCGGAAUCACUGGGCGUAAAGCGCGUGUAGGCGGGUCGUUAAGUGUCCGAGUGAAAUCCCACGGCUCAACCGUGGAACUGCCGGGCAUACUGGCGAUCUUGAGGCAUUCAGGGGCGAGCGGAACAAAUGGUGGAGCGGUGAAAUGCGUAGAUAUCAUUUGGAACGCCAAUGGUGAAAACAGCUCGCUGGGAAUGAUCUGACGCUGAGACGCGAAAGCCAGGGGAGCGAACGGG
rnacentral:rRNA from 1 species